rnacentral:lncRNA from 1 species
CUUGUGUAUUGUUUUAUUUAAGAAAAAAAAAACAAUCAACAAAAAACAUCAACUUUUCAUUAAUUAUUUUAUGCUUGUUUUUUUUUUUCAAAGCAAUUAACAAUAACUUUAACAACAACAACAACAGAUAAAAAUUUUCUUUCCUUUUUUUUUUUUUUUAGAAAAUAAUUAAAAAAAAAAAAAAACUGAAAAUACAUUUCCAAGUGUCAACAGAAACUCUAAUUAAAUGAAAAAUAUAAAUUACAAAAUAAUAAUAAUAAUAAAGAAAAAAAUGGGGAGGAAAUCCAAUGAAAUUUUGUUGAAUCAUGUGGAGAAGAUGUGUUUGUUUGGUCCUCCUCGCCCCUCCCCUCCUUGUACAAAUAAAUCAUGAAAUAUGUUGUCUCCUAACUCCGUGAUGGUGGUCGUUCUCUUAACACCUCCACCCCACACUCGCUAUCAAAUCCAAAUGCAAAUAACUCCGUAUCAACAUGUUUGUUUCGAGUAAACAGCUAACCCACCUCCACCUACCUAUUCACACAGGUGUGUGUGUGUAUAUACAUACAUAUAUGCGUAUAUACUUAUAUAUAUAUAUAUAUAUAUGCAUCUGUAUAUGUAAUGUGUUUGCCAUUCCUCUUUUUCUUGUUAAGUGAAGGUGAUUAGCUAAUCCACACGGUAGGUAACUUCACUAUCAUUAAAUAAAAUGUGUGUGUUUUGUGCAGAUAUACACACACACACACACAUGUAUGUAUAUAUAUCAUAGAGAUGUUGUAAAAAACAUUGUAAUAUCAGUGAUAGCAUUCGAAUGCCGCAUGACUGCAAAGCAAUAUCAGAACUUGAAACCGACCUAACCAAAGUCCCUAACCCCUAAGUAGCUUAGGUUACCAUAUACCACCAGUAGGGGCCUGUCACUGGAGAUCUUGGUCUGUGCAAUAUCCAGAUAGGAUAUUACAUAGAUUUCUAAUAUAGAGUGCAUUCAUACACACAUUUAUAUACAGAUUAUUCUUAAACAAGCUAAGAAUAUUAUUGAUAGUCUGACAAUGGCUUAGGUGACUGAAACUUCAAAGUCACUGUCAACAACAUUCUUGUACAAGAAUAAUAAAUUUGUACUCUUCAAAAGUAUAGAGUAACCCAUCAGAUUAAUGUAAAAUAAUUAUAGCUAAUCAUAAAAAAAACAAACAUAUAUAUAUAUGGAAACUCUGCCCUUCUUAGCCACUAUUGUCCCUCAAUCUAUUCUGACCCAGUGUAGUAGCACCUACCAGGGUCCUAGUUACAGGUUAAUUAGAAUGUCAUGGAAUUGCCCCCGGAAGAAGGUCUUCCACAGACACCCCAUCAGACCCAGGCAGAUGAGGCCCUUUGGCCCUUUGGCUGCUCAUGUGCUCCACACAAAUCCUGCAUCCUUGAUAAUUACUGGAUUUGUGGCCGUACAAAAGUGCUACAGUAUGGCUGGAACCACCAACAAAAGCAAAAGAGCCAAUAAUUAGUUAAAGUUUAAAACCUCACCCCAGCACACCCCACCUGUUCCUGGUUCAUUCUUAUAUGCUCUUUUACAGGUUUAGUACCAGCCAAUGGACUGUGCCCCUACUGGAGGCAAAAGUGCCCUCAACGGAUAAUUGCUGAUUAUAUUAGCAUCAGCACUUGCAGUUUGGUGACAUAGGCUGGAUUUGAACUUAGAACUUUAAGGGAUGUGAUCCAAUACCAUGAUGUGGUGUACUUUGUAUCUAUCCCUCCCCCCAUAAGGGUCCUAACUAAUCCUUUCCAUUUUUAUUUUUGCCCCUCUUUGGCUCAGAACACUGUAGUAAGACAGAACUCAAUAAGGUGAAAACAGUCUUGGAGCUCUACUGACCCUAAUGCCUGCCAUCUCCCACCCAGGGGUCUGAAAGGAAAUAAAUAGAAAUGAGUAAAGGAAGAAAAGCAAUCUAUUAUUGAAUAAAGAAGUUUCUAAAACAAGGAGGAGGAGGAGGAGGAGGAAGGGAUGAAAAGAUUGAGAUGAAAGCUUGAUUCUAAAGAUUCCUGGAUGUGUAUGUAUGAAUGUAUACAGAACGUGCAAUGGUUUUGUUAGGUGAGGGCAUUGUUCUUGUUAACCCACUUCCACCAGCUCACCCCCAUUGUGCAAGAUCUAUGAUCAAAAUGUAUUCCAAAUGUGACCAUCCUGUCUUUGUCCAGGCAUGUCUAAGACGACAUUAACUAACAUGUUCUUCCAAACUUUCGUUUUAAUUAAAAGAACAUUUUUCUGUUUCUAAAGACAGUAGGAUGAGAUUUCAAGCAGGCUAAGGGGCUGAUGGGAACCCAGGUCCUCCCCUCCUCCACCACAUUGACAACAUUGUCAUCAUCAUUGAUGUGAGAGAGAGAGAGAGAGAGAGAGGGCAGAGCAAGCACCUUGUUAGAUCUGCACAAAUGGGUGAUUGAACCAAACUGUCCAUCAAUGUUUCUGGGGGUGGCAGUGGUCAUCCGCACCCCCCCCUAUCAUCAUCAUCAUUAUGAUAGAACAGUUCAUGUUUUAAAAAAACCAACAACACUUGACUCCCAUCCACCCAUCUCACAUCUCUUUCCCUUAUGUGAAAGACAUCAAAGAAUUUAGCAAUGUGUGUGUGUGUGCAUCUAUCCGCCUUUCGACCUCUCUCACCGUCUCCAAUACUCUGCUUUGUAUAUUUUCGAUUUAUAGUUGUUUUACAUCGGUUGUUGUUACUCCACCCCCUGCACUCAUUUCCAGAAAUCAAUUCACAAAUCUCAAAAGACUAAGCCCCCCCCCCACAUAUAGACACACAUGUCGCAAACAUAUUAGUUAAAAUUUAAACAUUGACCCUAGUAAAUAUUUACAAGGCAGGGGGGAUGGGAUGGGGGAUGAGGGAGGGAUGUGGAACUGAUGACAUUAUUAUUAUUAUUGGGCGCUAUUUUGUAGAGAAGAGAGUGUCAAAGAGCAACACAUCUCGAGAUCUCCACCAAUAAUUUCUGAUUAAGAAAAAAAAAAAACUUUGGUUGGGGGAAGAGUUAAAAAAUAAAUAAAAACUUUUUGUCACGGACAAUAAAUAUUUUAAUAAAUUACAAAUUGUUAC